GAUGAACGCUAGCGGCAGGCUUAAUACAUGCAAGUCGAGGGGCAGCAUGAUUGUAGCAAUACAAUUGAUGGCGACCGGCAAACGGGUGCGGAACACGUACACAACCUUCCAAUAAGUGGGGAAUAGCCCAGAGAAAUUUGGAUUAAUACCCCGUAACAUAACGAUGUGGCAUCACAUUGGUAUUAUAGAUUUUUCGCUUAUUGAUGGGUGUGCGGCUGAUUAGAUAGUUGGCGGGGUAACGGCCCACCAAGUCUACGAUCAGUAGCUGAUGUGAGAGCAUGAUCAGCCACACGGGCACUGAGACACGGGCCCGACUCCUACGGGAGGCAGCAGUAAGGAAUAUUGGACAAUGGACGCAAGUCUGAUCCAGCCAUGCCGCGUGAAGGAUUAAGGUCCUCUGGAUUGUAAACUUCUUUUAUAAGGGACGAAAAAAGGCUUUUCUAAGUCGUCUGACGGUACCUUAUGAAUAAGCACCGGCUAACUCUGUGCCAGCAGCCGCCGUAACAC
rnacentral:rRNA from 1 species